rnacentral:rRNA from 1 species
ACCCGCUGAACUUAAGCAUAUCAAUAAGCGGAGGAAAAGAAACCAACAGGGAUUGCCUCAGUAACGGCGAGUGAAGCGGCAAGAGCUCAAAUUUAAAAGCCGACGUAGCUUUAAGAGACGUCCGCAUUGUAAUUUGAAGAGGCAUUCUCGGGUCGGGGCUCAGGCCUAAGUUCCUUGGAAGAGGGCGUCGUGGAGGGUGGGAACCCCGUUCGCGGCCUGCUGUCGACCUUUCCCCGAUCCACACGAGGUGCCAUCGAAGAGUCGAGUUGUUUGGGAAUGCAGCUCAAAGCGGGUGGUAAAUUCCAUCUAAAGCUAAAUAUUGACGGGAGACCGAUAGCGAACAAGUAGAGUGAUCGAAAGAUGAAAAGCACUUUGGAAAGAGAGUUAAACAGCACGUGAAAUUGUUGAAAGGGAAGCGCUUGAGACCAGUCACGGACCGAGGCAAUCAGUGGGACGUCCCUCUCGGGGGAGGAACCGCGCACUCGCUUUUCGGGUUUUCCGGGUCAACAUCGGUUGGGACGGUGUCAGAAAGGUCGCGGGAACGUGGCUCCCUUCACGGGGAGUGUUAUAGCCCGUGGCGUCAAAGUCGCCAGUUUCGACCGAGGACCGCGCUCGUCUUUUUCGAGCAAGGAUGUUGACGUAAUGGUCCC